rnacentral:sRNA from 1 species
UUGAACUGUCAGGCACAUCAACCAACUGCUACAGUAAAUUGAGUGCCAU